rfam:Gasterosteus aculeatus cont1.005930, whole genome shotgun sequence.
AGCAUUAAGGUGGGUGGAAUAAUAUAACAAUAUCCUCCAUGUUGUUAUAGUACUCCACCUACCCUGAUGUC